rnacentral:rRNA from 1 species
UACGAGGGGUGCAAGCGUUGCUCGGAAUACUGGGCGUAAAGCGUGCGCAGGCGGUUCUGAAAGUCAGCUGUGAAAGCCCCGGGCUUAACCUGGGAAUUGCGGUUGAAACUACAGGGCUAGAAUCUGGCAGAGGGGGGGGUAGAAUUCCACGUGUAGCAGUGAAAAUGCGUAGAGAUGUGGAGGAAUACCGAUGGCGAAGGCAGCCCCCCUGGGCCAAUAUGACGCUCAUGCACGAAAGCGUGGGGAGCAAACAGG